AUGCCAUCAAUGGCAGCCUUGGCAAAGACUAUGGUCGUGGAGUGUGUGCAGGACCCACUGAUCUGGCUGUUCCUCGCCUCCGUGGCUUUGGCCAUCCUGUGGAGACGGCGGGGCUACGGGCCGCUCCCUCCGGGUCCGAGGCGGCUGCCGAUCAUCGGUAACAUGACGCUGGUGAACCAGCUGACGCACCGCGGACUGGUGGCUCUGGCGGAGAAGUACGGCGGGCUGCUACACCUCCGCAUCGGCUGCCUCCACGUCAUCGCGGUGUCGACGCCGGAGUACGCGCGGGAGGUUCUGCAGGCGCGGGAUGGCGCCUUCUCGAACCGCCCGGCCACCACCGCCAACUUUUACCUCACCUACGGCCGCUCCGACCUGGCGUUCGCCCACAGCGGCGCCCACGUUCGCGAGAUGCGCAAGCUCUGCGCCACGAACCUCUUCAGCCGGCGGCGCGCCGAGACGUGGCUCGCCGUGCGCUACGGGUACGGGGCGCUGGCCCGCGACGUCGGCAGGCGCAGCGGCCAGGCCGUGAACCUAGGCGAGCUCAUCUUCAAGCACACCGUCGGCGUCAUCUUCCGCGCUGCCUUCAGCGCCGGCGACGAAGAACUGGACGAGUUCAUCGUCAUCCUCCGGGUGGUCUCCAAGGUCUUAGGCGAGUUCCACGUCGGCGACUACUUCCCGUGGCUCCGCUGGACGGCCCGGCUGGGCUUCAACCGCCGCCUCCACGCAGCGCGCAGCGCCCUCGACAAGUUUACCGACAAAAUAAUCGACGACCACCUGAGGAGAGGGAAGAACCCCGCCGACGCCGACUUGGUAGAUGGCCUGCUCGGUUUCCUCGCCGAGGCGAACCUAUCCAAAGGGAAGGAGAGCGAGAACGCCCUCCCCUUCACCCGCGACAACGUCAAGGCCAUGAUCAUGUCCAGUGAUGCUGUUCCUCGAUGGCGCCGCCUCCUCCCCUCCGUGGUGGUGGGUGGUGGGGGAUGGAUCUGGGAUCCCUGCCCAGAUCCGGUGGAUGGUGGGGUUGGUGUUGGUAGCGAUGGCCGGUGGCCCAGGCGUGGUGGUGGCGAGUCUCGCGGCCUCUGGGCAUCGUGGAGGUGCCGGCGGCGGUGA
rnacentral:rRNA from 1 species